rnacentral:lncRNA from 1 species
CACACUGAAAUAUUGUUUCCUAUAGUUUUCAUGUAUGCGCACAUAAUACACAUAUGAACUGAAAAAAUGGUAUAUUUUUGGAGCAGUUCAUCCAAGAAUGUAUGUAACUAAGGUGUGUUGAUGUGCAGGCUUUUUUUAUAACAUUUUGAUUAGGUAAUUGGGGAUUGAUACAAUACUAUAAUGAUUGACAACUGUCAUUAUCACCAAACAAUCAGAGAAAAGGUGGACCUUUAAUUACAAUGCCCCACCUCCUAAACUGUCAAUCAAAUUGACCACAUUACUUAUCAACCU